rnacentral:rRNA from 1 species
UAGCAAUACUUUGGUGGCGACCGGCGCACGGGUGAGUAACGCGUAUGCAACCCAUCUAUCAGAGGGGAAUAACCCGGCGAAAGUCGGACUAAUACCGCAUAAAACAGGGGCACCGCAUGGUGAUAUUUGUUAAAGAAAUUCGCUGAUAGAUGGGCAUGCGUUCCAUUAGGUAGUUGGUGAGGUAACGGCUCACCAAGCCGACGAUGGAUAGGGGAACUGAGAGGUUGGUCCCCCACACUGGUACUGAGACACGGACCAGACUCCUACGGGAGGCAGCAGUGAGGAAUAUUGGUCAAUGGGCGAGAGCCUGAACCAGCCAAGUCGCGUGAAGGAAGAAGGAUCUAUGGUUCGUAAACUUCUUUUGCAGGGGAAUAAAGUGCAGGACGUGUCCUGUUUUGUAUGUACCCUGAGAAUAAGGAUCGGCUAACUCCGUGCCAGCAGCCGCGGUAAUACGGAGGAUCCGAGCGUUAUCCGGAUUUAUUGGGUUUAAAGGGUGCGUAGGUGGUUUGAUAAGUCAGCGGUGAAAGUUUGCAGCUUAACUGUAAAAAUGCCGUUGAAACUGUCGGACUUGAGUGUAAAUGAGGUAGGCGGAAUGCGUGGUGUAGCGGUGAAAUGCUUAGAUAUCACGAAGAACUCCGAUUG